AUGUAAUCAUUAGGUAACAAUGCCAGCCCAUCUACUACUUCAACAUCAUCACUAUCCCCUUUACGAUGUUUCAAUACUUACCGAUGUAAUCAUUAGGUAACAAUGCCAGCCCAUCUACUACUUCAACAUCAUCACUAUCCCCUUUACGAUGUUUCAAUACUUACCGAUGUAAUCAUUAGGUAACAAUGCCAGCCCAUCUACUACUUCAACAUCAUCACUAUCCCCUUUACGAUGUUUCAAUACUUACCGAUGUGAUCAUUAGGUAACAAUGCCAGCCCAUCUACUACUUCAACAUCAUCACUAUCCCCUUUACGAUGUUUCAAUACUUACCGAUGUAAUCAUUAGGUAACAAUGCCAGCCCAUCUACUACUUCAACAUCAUCACUAUCCCCUUUACGAUGUUUCAAUACUUACCGAUGUAAUCAUUAGGUAACAAUGCCAGCCCAUCUACUACUUCAACAUCAUCACUAUCCCCUUUACGAUGUUUCAAUACUUACCGAUGUAAUCAUUAGGUAACAAUGCCAGCCCAUCUACUACUUCAGCAUCAUCACUAUCCCCUU